rnacentral:rRNA from 1 species
UACAUGUGGGGCAAGCGUUGUUCGGAUUCACUGGGCGUAAAGGGUGCGUAGGUGGUCGGGUAAGUCUGAUGUGAAAUCUCCGAGCUUAACUCGGAAAUGGCAUUGGAUACUAUUCGGCUAGAGGGUUUGAGGGGGGACUGGAAUACUUGGUGUAGCAGUGAAAUGCGUAGAUAUCAAGUGGAACACCAGUGGCGAAGGCGAGUCCCUGGAAAACUCCUGACACUGAGGCACGAAAGCUAGGGGAGCAAACAGG